rnacentral:rRNA from 1 species
UGGGGAAUAUUGCGCAAUGGGGGAAACCCUGACGCAGCGACGCCGCGUGAAGGAAGAAGGCCUUCGGGUUGUAAACUUCUUUGGUGAGGGACGAAGUAAGUGACGGUACCUCAGGAACAAGCCACGGCUAACUACGUGCCAGCAGCCGCGGUAAUACGUAGGUGGCGAGCGUUAUCCGGAAUUACUGGGUGUAAAGGGCGCGUAGGCGGGGAUGCAAGUCAGAUGUGAAAUACCGGUGCUUAACACCGGGGCUGCAUCUGAAACUGUGUUUCUUGAGUGUCGGAGAGGGAAGCGGAAUUCCCAGUGUAGCGGUGAAAUGCGUAGAUAUUGGGAGGAACACCAGUGGCGAAGGCGGCUUUCUGGACGACAACUGACGCUGAGGCGCGAAAGCGUGGGGAGCAAACAGG